UCCAGUCACGGAUACGGCGCACGAUGG
rnacentral:sRNA from 1 species